UACCAGCACCCCGAGUGGUCGGGACGUUUUAUUGGGCCUAAAGCAUCCGUAGCCGGUUCUACAAGUCUUCCGUUAAAUCCACCUGCUUAACAGAUGGGCUGCGGAAGAUACUAUAGAGCUAGGAGGCGGGAGAGGCAAGCGGUACUCGAUGGGUAGGGGUAAAAUCCGUUGAUCCAUAGAAGACCACCAGUGGCGAAGGCGGCUUGCCAGAACGCGCUCGACGGUGAGGGAUGAAAGCUGGGGGAGCAAACCGG
rnacentral:rRNA from 1 species